AAACAUGUGGGUAUGAUUGUUGUGUCCUGGUUUCACAUUUCUCUAGAAUAUGCCCCUUCAGGGCACAAAUUACAUGCUGCUUUGUGUGGUCUCAAGGAUUCCUCUGCCUCACACAUGGCCUUUGAAUGUGUGAUUGACAAGAGAUGCUUGUUUUCUCUGUGAUAACCUGAAAUUUUCCACAAUAAAUCGAGACAGUGCAGCAAAGUAGGGUGUUAACCCUUAGUAAGCCCUCAUUUCAAUAUUUGUUCAGUAGGUUUUUUUAUUGUUGUUUUUUUUUCCCCCACAGUAAAAAUAAUAGGUUUCCUGACUGCUCUCAUGUUGUUCUCCAUAUAAAUUAAUAGUAGUUUUAAAUGUUUGAAGGACAUUUUAAAUGCAAUAGCAGAACUUCAAAGGGUAUUACAGAGGCGAGGCCAAACCCUGCUGAGCAAUUUCUUCCUUGAUGUAAUACUCCAUCUCUGACUGACAAUUUUGGACUCAGCGUCUUUCAGAUACUGGAAAUCCUCCUCCUUCUAGACCUUGGAAGAGACUUUAUCCUGCCCCGAAUCUCCUGAUACUAGUAACUGAGCUUCCCGUGAAUCCACUGGUGCCCAGGAAAUCCUCCUCCCACAUUCAGAGCAAUUCAGAGGAUAGCUACCCCCAGGAGCUUUAUCUUUGUCUUUGAGGAGAUACAAAGCAAGUGAGCUGGGAGGAGAUUGACUGCCCCAUACCCUGUCAGACCAUACUUGAAAUUAUUGAUGGAAAGUAUUGUUGAAAAUGUACAAGUUUGUAAAACUUUACUGUUAUUCUUCCACUCCAUAGGCAACAUUUUACCCAGUAUUUCACACUAGUCUUAACUAUCUGUAGCCAAAGGAGUGGCAAUAUAUUUGCAGUUAUGGAUACCUUCUGCAGUGAAAUGCAAUGUUACAGUAGUAAUUUACAUCCUCUCUAGUAUGGUAAUCAGUGCCAUUAUCUGAGUGUAAAAAGCUGAAAUUUGUGUAGCUAUAUUGCACAUCAUGGAUUUCAGAGUUUAAACGAUGCCUGUCCUGGGCUAUCUAAGCAGUCAUUUAAACUUGAGACAAAUUAAUUUUGAUGUACUUAUUUCAAAACAUCCCUGCAUCAAUGUAUUGAGCUGGAAGAUUAUUAUCCAAAAGACUCAUACUUUUAUUUACAAUGGUUUAUCAUUUCUCUCACUAAUCAAUAUGUGCUACAGGCAAAUUAUGUGUUUAAUGGGCUAUUGAUGCUC
rnacentral:lncRNA from 7 species